CCCUCUACGACUCAAUAAUACACAAGAAGCCGGUAUAGACGACAGCAUACAUCAGUGCACUUCACCCUAAAGUUGCAGCCCUGCCCCCUUUUGAGUGAAAGCAGUACUUCUUGAUGGAGGAUGGAUGUCAAGUGAAUGUAAGGUGAGGGAUGUCUUUGCUGUUAUUAUUGAAGGAACUGUAACUGAGUGGUUUACAUGUUUCUCUAAAAACAGCCAUUAGUAAGCAGAAAAGAGCCCCAAGUCUUGGUAUUUUGUUUGUUUAGUUGUCCUCAUUGUUGUGUAAGCUGCUGUGACAGUUUCACUUCUUGUAAAUGAUUGAUAGGAGGCUAGCUCACAUCAGCUAAAACAUAACUAAAGCUCUUAUUUCUCAACCCUGUUUUUGAGACAUGCAUAACAUUAUUUGUUUCAGGUCUCUCUGUCUCAAAAGAAACUUCCUGAAAAUAAAAAUGCAUAAACAGCAUACUUCCAUGCUUCAUACUUUUAUCGAAUUUCCCCUUCAGGAUAAAUAACCUUCAUAUCUUUCUAACCAUUUCCAUGACAACAAGUCAAUAGUCUUCACUUUGCUGCUUUUUUAUUUAAAAAAAAAGGGUGUCUGGUGUCUCCCUUGUUUUGAAAGAAGCUCACUGACAUUUCCUCUGUAUGCAUACAGUCAAUAGGUCAGUGACAUCAGCCUGAAAUGUAACUCUCCUGUUUCUUCUUCUACAGCCAUAAAAUGUGUCACAGGGAUGAAAAAAAAUCAGCUUUGAGCCUGCGGCGUAAAUCCACCCUGACAGGACUGCUGAGAAAGCUCUGCGUCCUCAGCAACGCUCAGAGAACUGCCUGCCUCGCCGUCCACACGGCAACAAAGCUCAC